GGUUUGCGAUUGUAGGAUAAGCUCUCAUGGCUUAUGGGUGAUCUAUUGGUGGUUCUCAUUGCUAUCUAUUAUUAUAAGGAGUUAGCCUAUUGCUAAAACCUGCAAGUUCCAUGUUCUGUCUAUUAGGUGCGCUCCUGCUGUUUGUAGGAUACCAACUCGCAAGGAAUCUUUUAACAUCAAAGCAAGGCAAAAUGCACCUCAGAUUCCCUCCUCACUUGAUAACUGUGAUGGAAAACCGUCUUUUAAUUCGAGUAGCGUUUGGGGUACAUCAUCCUGUGGAGAGGAUAACCAGAAAAGAUUGAGGGAGAGGGAGAAAGAGAACUACUUCAGACACUUGAAGAGAGGGUCAGAUAGUACCAGCGUGAGCAAUAGUUGUUGUUGGCCAUCAAUUUGCCAUACUGCUAGGAGUCUUCUCUGCCUUAUCAGAACUUCCCAGUUUGAGGUCGAAGCAUUGCAAGGAGAGAGUGAUACCAAAUCAGGGAGGUCGAUCAUUCCAAGGAGGAGGGAGGUCUAUUGCCAAAGGAGAUUGAAGAUAAAGAAGUCCAAUUUAGGCCAUGCCACUGAUGGAAGAAAGUUUGGAAGAGGCUUGUGAAGAAGUUUAAAAAGCAACUUUUCCGGAAUAAAGACUUGGAGAUGUUAUCAGUAUCACAUUCCAAGCUCUAAAGCCAAACCUGGUAGAACAUCUUGGCUACGUAACCAGCUAGUGUGCAAGCAAAUGCAUCUCUCAUUUCCAUUAAUAUUCAGCCCAGCUUAAUGUUUAAGCUUAGUUUGUGAAGGCACAAUGCUUUGUAUUAGUUUCCAAUUGGCCUAAGAACUAAACAUCUGUACAAAUAGCAAGAUUUCUCUUAAAUUAGGUGACUUGGAAGAAUGUUGAAAGGGUUUGCUUGAAAGAAAACUAAUGGUGGUUUUGAGCAUCGCCUCUCUUAUCUCUUCCAUGUCUUUUUUGUUUGUUUGUU